ensembl:processed_transcript
CCUCUCAGGGAACCAGAACAGCAGGUGUGGGGAAAAGUAAUGACAGGACUCCAUUUUACUGGCUGUCACAUCCCAGCAUGCUCGGCGCUGUCCAGUCGAGUGCACCGACUGAAAGAUGACAAGCUGACAGCUCACCACACAGGAUACCAGGCGUCUAAUGACAUUCUGCGAGUCCUCUGUGUGAGUGUGAUUGUUCGUCUGGGGGAAUGUUGCCACAUCAACACAAAAUCGAACAAUGGACCAAAAUAUAAUGGCUCUGGACGCUACCAGUUUCCAAGGCAACAAUUGUGACAGAUUUGGGGGAGACAAGACAGGUAAUUGGAAAAAGAUUGAUGGGGUACAAGAGAGUGGAAAAAAAACCCUAUCAAAGGAGGUCUCUCUGGGAAUAACAACAAUACAAUAAAGGGUCUUGCAUCCUCUUGGACCAUCCGCGGCCUCCUGU